AUUGAACGCUGGCGGCAGGCCUAACACAUGCAAGUCGAGCGGAUGAAGGGAGCUUGCUCCUGGAUUCAGCGGCGGACGGGUGAGUAAUGCCUAGGAAUCUGCCUGGUAGUGGGGGAUAACGUCCGGAAAUGGGCGCUAAUACCGCAUACGUCCUGAGGGAGAAAGUGGGGGAUCUUCGGACCUCACGCUAUCAGAUGAUCCUAGGUCGGAUUAGCUAGUUGGUGGGGUAAAGGCCUACCAAGGCGACGAUCCGUAACUGGUCUGAGAGGAUGAUCAGUCACACUGGAACUGAGACACGGUCCAGACUCCUACGGGAGGCAGCAGUGGGGAAUAUUGGACAAUGGGCGGAAGCCUGAUCCAGCCAUACCGCGUGUGUGAAGAAGGUCUUCGGAUUGUAAAGCGCUUUAGGUGGGGAGGAAGAGCAGUAAGUUAAUACCUUGCUGUUUUGACGUUACCAACAGAAUAAGCACCGGCUAACUUCGUG
rnacentral:rRNA from 1 species